GGCAGCCCCGGUGCGGCUGCUGGGCGGCGCGGCGGCCGCUCCUCCUCCUCCUGCAGCCGCCAUCCAGCGAGCCGCGGCGGCGGUACCGAGCGGUUAUAAGUGUCAUUCAGACACCAGUCUUCUGAGAUGGGAAAGACCAAUGAUGAAAAGACCAGUGAUGUUUCUUCACUCCUUUCAGAAGAUAUUAACUGCAAGGUCUUUCCUGUCUUGCAAGAGUUUGGGCGUUGCAGAGAACAACAGAUGUGAACUGCAGCUCCAUACUACUUCUAUGAAGCCAGACCUCACUUCCAGAGGUCAUGUAUUUUAUUUUUCUGCCCUGGUUCCAGGAGGAGUUCCCUGUUCAUUCAGAUCAUAGAAUCAUAGAAUGGCCUGAGUUGAAAAGGACCACAAUGAUCAUCGAGUUUCAACCCCCUUGCUAUGUGCAGGGUCGCCAACCACCAGACAAGGCUGCCCAAAGCCACAUCCAGCCUGACCUUGAAUGCCUCCAGGGAUGGGGCAUCCACAAUCUCCUUGGGCAAGCUGUUCCAGUGAAAGUAUUCAGUGAAAGUAUUCCAGAGCCACGUGAUACAAAUUCUACAGCACAAAUAAGAACACUCAUCCACAAAACAGAGCUUCCACAAGACCUGGGAGUGAUUAGAGAUAAUGCAUUAGCCAUCUGCACAAUGUCUGCUAGCAGUGAGAAGGUAAACAAAGUCCUGGCAUGCAUUAUGUCUCUAGAAGUGAGAUGUAUGAACGAGAACUUAAAUACAUACGGAGCAGUAGGAAAGCAUCUUUUAGAAUACUCUGAGAUUUUCUAUUUAUGGUAUUUUUUGAAGACUAUAGGAAGAUAGAAAACAUCAAGAAGCUGCAACAGAAGGUGCUUUGACUAACACUGGAAGCAAAGGAAAUAUCCCAUAAGGAAUGGAAAACCAGACUGUUCUGUAUGCACAAAGGAAGCUGAGACCUCAGAUCUGAAAUACCCUAAAAGGGGAAGACAGAUGUUAAUGCAAGGUGUUUAAAUACAAUGACAGCUAACAGAAAAACAAACACAAAGGUUAAAAUAAAGUUAUAGAUUGGUACUCUGAAGCGAAUUGGACAGAAUUAGGGCAUUCACAACUAACUGAUGCACACUGUAUAGAAAAAAUAUACAUUAACUUAAAGGUGUACUUAGCAUGGCAGCACUGUGCCCAUGAAAGAACUUGAGGAAAGUAGACCAAUUAAUCUUCCCAUCUUACAGAUAAUCUGUCUGUGCUAACUGUUACAGUGGCUGUUCUCUGGAAUGGAUGUGUAAUAACUUUGGUGAUGCAGAGUGUGUAGGUGACAUAAUUUUCAGUUUAGCCCUGUUUUAAAAGAUAUAUUUGCAGUGAAACAUAAGGAAAGGAAUAGUGACAACCUGAGAUGAAUGACUAACUUUGCAAAGGUGAGAUACAAAAGGAAACUUCAUACCUUUCCUUCUAUAUAGCUUCAGAGUACCUAAAUGUAGGAGUAACCCACACAAGACAGCUCUAAAGGCAAUGGGAAGCUGUAGGUCCGCUUGAUAUACUGCUCAUGUAAAUGCAAAACAAAACCUUCAUCUACUAUUUGUAGAAUAAAUGUAAUCUGUUGGAAAUAAGUAAAUUAAUAAAGAUGGAACUCC
ensembl:lncRNA